rnacentral:lncRNA from 1 species
AAGUAAGGAAAACAUUAAGAAGAUAAAUGAACAGGGGAUUAGAGAGUAGCAAUAUCACUAAGAAAUCAAGGAGGUGUAUUGCAUCAAACAGGUAAGAUCAUUCAUCAAGAAGGAGAUGCAUGAUCAAGAUCAAGCAGUGAUCAAGGAGAGAGGAAAUAAAUAGACAAGGAUUGAGGGUCUAACAUUUGCAAGACAAGAAGUGCAAAUGAAAAGAGCUCAAGUUAUCAAGGAGGAUUGAGAAAAGAAAAUGAUCAAGGAGUGAGAAUAUUUUUCAGAAAGGUCAAGGAUAAGGCAGGAAUUGUUUAUAGAAUAAAAUAGACCUUAGGAAGUGACCAUUGCUAUCUAGGCUUACGUCCUACAGUCGAUACGGCUCUGAUACCAC